ensembl:lncRNA
CUAUACUUAAAAUAAUAUACAGUAAAAGAAUGUUCAGGUUUAGAAAUCCAUACUCCAGUUAUACUUCAUACAUACUUCAGUUAUAGAAGGGGAAAUUUUUAGAAAUCAAAGUAACACUGAGCAAUAAUAACCUGUCUACAAUCUUUAUUGCUACAUUACUCUGGAACUCAGGGAGUACAAAACUGAAACCAAAACAUAUGGAAACCAGGGAGCACUAAUACUCAAGGAGAGCACACAUUUCAUGACCGCAAGGAUUCAAACAUCAAACUGAUUUGAGCCUAUUGUUACGUUUCGGUGUUGUCAGUGUGUUGUUUUUGGCGUGACUGUUAUGUGUUUCCUGUUUUACUUUGAAAGUCUGUGUUAUCUUAGUGUUUUCAGGUUACGUUUCCCUGUCUCGUCAGUUCUGAGUUGCCCCAGCUGUUUCCCUCUUGUUGUCCAUUUUCCUGAUUGCUCCCUCUAGGUAUUUAAACCCUGUGUUUCAGUGUGUCAUGGUUGUGAUCUCCCCCGUGUUGUAAAUAGUUUGGUGUUUUGUUGUAAAUAAAUAGUUUGUUUUAAAUAGCUGUAAAUAGAUUUGUCGAUACUUUCGUUUUCGGAUUUUGGUGGAGAGCCUUAGUGGGGUUUUUUCUGUGGGGUUUUUUUUCUUCUUUAUUUUUACUUUUUUCGUGUUGCACUCCGGCAGUCCUGUUUGUUUAUUAAUUACCAGCGGAUGUCACAUAAAAAGAGAUCAUGUCAAAGUCAGAGGUUAAAGUGGGACACUGUUUUACUGUUUUUGCCACAACACCAGAGCGACUGCAGGUGUCUGUUAGGCACGGUUGCAGUACUUCAGCAUCUAGCUAGCUCUGCUGAAGAGGAGUGAGCAUAAAGGGAGUAACAUUUGCUGUCAGGUAAUUUCAAAUGUAAUGUUUCUAUGAGUUCAACAAACAUCAGCAAACACACAAACUGUUUGUGUCCAGCUGCUUAUUUCACAGGGAGAGAAAAGAAAGAGCUAACCUCACUCAGAGAUGGAGAAAGAUAAGAAAGACAGGAGAGGAAGAAGAGAGCUUAGAUUUAAAGGGAAGGAUGAUCAGGAGAAAUGUAAAGCUCACAUGUAAGUCGUCAUGUUUUUAAAUCAGCUCUUGGGUCUGUACAUGUGACAUUAUGUUUUUUCAUAUUGUGAAACCUGCUGCUAAACAAAC